rnacentral:rRNA from 1 species
GACGAACGCUGGCAGCGUGCUUAACACAUGCAAGUCGAGCGGAGCGGCCUACGGGUGAGUAACACGUGAGUAACUGCCCCCCUCUCUGGGAUAACAGUUGGAAACGGCUGCUAAUACCGGAUAGUGGGGGAUGACUCGCGUCCUAUCAGCUUGUUGGUGGGGUAGUGGCCUACCAAGGCGACGACGGGGAGCCGGCCUGAGAGGGCGACCGGCCACAUUGGUCUGAGAUACGGCCCAAACGCCUACGUGAGGCAGCAGUGGGGAAUAUUGCACAAUGGGGGAAAACCUGAUGCAGCAACGCGCGUGCGGGAUAACGGCCGUCGGGUUGUAAACCGCUUUCAGCGAUGACGCGGUGGUUGCAGGAGAAGGACCGGCUAACUACGUGCCAGCAGCCGCGGUAAUAC